UAGGCCUAUUGGGGAAACCACUUAAAAAAAAACGCGCCAUGCUAUCUACCGCCAGGUGGUGUGGAAAAGAUAGCACCAAAAUACUGAGUAAUAAUAUGGUCAAUAACAUUAAUUAAUAUUAUUAACCAUAUUAAUUAAUAAUAUUAAUAAAGUAAUAUAAUUAAUAAUAAUAUUAAUAAAGUAACAAAACUUGUACAUCGAAAAGAAUUGCGUGACAACUUUCUCGGCGCGUGAAUGAGACGCCGAGAAUUAUUGUGUACGCGUCGUCUCGCCUGCCGCUGUAAUCCGAUACUCGCUCCGACCAUCGCGUCGCGCGCGCGGCUAGCUGUUACGUUAUCCACGCCUACUUCUCUCGCUGCCAAUCGCGUCCGCUGAAUUAGCGAAACUUCUUUACUUAAUAACUCGAAAUAUACACGGUUAAUUGCAAAAUGUUAUAAGACUUUUUUGUUCACCUUAACGAGAUCUACCUGCAGCAGAGCGAUUGGGCACUUUAUGUGGGACACCCUGUGUAAUGUUUCAACGGUGAGUGUGUACUGUUAUUGCUUCAUGCUUUAUUUUAUACAAAUUACAAAAUGGAGAACAAAAAUUUAGAAUAUUUGAAGAUCAUGUUCUUUGUUUGCAUUCUAUUUUUAACUCUUUUGAAGACCUUUUUUAAAUUUUUUAAACCUGUAAACAUAAAGAAUAUACGUAUACCUUAAAGUUUAUAGCAAAUACUAAUGCACCAAAGAAGAUAAAAUAUUUGACAAAAUUAUUCUCACUACAAUUGCAACUAUUUUCAUUAAAACUGAUGUUAAAUUUUUUUUUAAUAUCAUUAAUGUCAUUACAAAAUAAUUUUUGCUUUUAGAUUUUGAAACGUUGGAUAUUUUUUAUGUCACAAUCCGCAUUACAAGAUGAACUGUGGAAAUAGAAAGUAUGCGGUUGUAAAAUUUUUGUGCGAUUCUUCAUACUCUGAAAUUCCAACAGCAUGGCUCUUUCAAGAAAAAAAAUGUGCAACUAUGUUGGUGGCCACCUCGAACUGCAAACAGUGGAAUAUUAAUAGCAAACUGUCAAAUUCCUGAUUCCUCUACAUGGAGUAAUUAUGAAGUCGAAAUCGUAAAAUAUUGUUCAUCUGUUGAGUCAGCUCGAAAGACUGCAGCAGACUCUAAUUAUGAAACAACUGAUGAAGAACGACUGGGUCGAGGAAGAAGGCAACAUGUUUCAUACAAUCGUUUCAGAAGCGA